rnacentral:piRNA from 1 species
GAACUUCCUUCCUUCUAGGUGACCCC